CCUACGGGUGGCUGCAGUGGGGAAUAUUGGACAAUGGGGGCAACCCUGAUCCAGCCAUGCCGCGUGUGUGAAGAAGGCCCUCGGGUUGUAAAGCACUUUCAGUGAGGAAGAACGCCUGGUGGUUAAUACCCAUCAGGAAAGACAUCACUCACAGAAGAAGCACCGGCUAACUCCGUGCCAGCAGCCGCGGUAAUACGGAGGGUGCGAGCGUUAAUCGGAAUUACUGGGCGUAAAGCGCGCGUAGGUGGCUUGAUAAGCCGGUUGUGAAAGCCCCGGGCUCAACCUGGGAACGGCAUCCGGAACUGUCAAGCUAGAGGGCAGGAGAGGAAGGUAGAAUUCCCGGUGUAGCGGUGAAAUGCGUAGAGAUCGGGAGGAAUACCAGUGGCGAAGGCGGCCUUCUGGACUGACACUGACACUGAGGUGCGAAAGCGUGGGUAGCAAACAGGAUUAGAUACCCCAGUAGUC
rnacentral:rRNA from 1 species